rnacentral:rRNA from 1 species
GAUGAACGCUGGCGGCGUGCCUAAUACAUGCAAGUCGAGCGAACAGACGAGGAGCUUGCUCCUCUGACGUUAGCGGCGGACGGGUGAGUAACACGUGGAUAACCUACCUAUAAGACUGGGAUAACUUCGGGAAACCGGAGCUAAUACCGGAUAAUAUAUUGAACCGCAUGGUUCAAUAGUGAAAGACGGUUUUGCUUUCACUUAUAGAUGGAUCCGCGCCGCAUUAGCUAGUUGGUAAGGUAACGGCUUACCAAGGCGACGAUGCGUAGCCGACCUGAGAGGGUGAUCGGCCACACUGGAACGGAGACACGGUCCAGACUCCUACGGGAGGCAGCAGUAGGGAAUCUUCCGCAAUGGGCGAAAGCCUGACGGAGCAACGCCGCGUGAGUGAUGAAGGUCUUCGGAUCGUAAAACUCUGUUAUUAGGGAAGAACAAAUGUGUAAGUAACUAUGCACGUCUUGACGGUACCUAAUCAGAAAGCCACGGCUAACUACGUG